rnacentral:rRNA from 1 species
GAUGAACGCUAGCGGCAGGCCUAACACAUGCAAGUCGAGGGAGGAGCCUUCGGGCUUCGACCGGCGUACGGGUGCGUAACGCGUAUACAAUCUGCCUUUCAUAUAGGGAUAGCCCGAAGAAAUUUGGAUUAAUACCUAAUGGUAUAUAGAUGUGGCAUCACCUUUAUAUUAAAGCUGAGGCGGUGAAAGAUGAGUAUGCGUUCUAUUAGCUAGUUGGAGAGGUAACGGCUCCCCAAGGCGACGAUAGAUAGGGGUUCUGAGAGGGAUAUCCCCCACACUGGUACUGAGAUACGGACCAGACUCCUACGGGAGGCAGCAGUGAGGAAUAUUGGACAAUGGUCGGAAGACUGAUCCAGCCAUGCCGCGUGCAGGAAGACGGCCUUAUGGGUUGUAAACUGCUUUUGCAGGGGAAGAAUAAGGACUACGCGUAGUUUGAUGACGGUACUCUGCGAAUAAGCAUCGGCUAACUCCGUG